rnacentral:tRNA from 1 species
GCCUGGUUGGCUCAGUCAGAAGAGCAUGGGACUCUUGAUCUUGGGGUGUGAGUUCGAGCCCCACGUUGGGUG